rnacentral:sRNA from 1 species
AUGUACCACUCGUACACUCCGGUUCCUGUGCGCCGCCCGCACCCGCCUGACGACUGCUCGCGAUGCGAUGUCGCA